GCCCGCGUGGCGCAAUCGGUAGCGCGUCAGACUUUUACGUAAGCUAGAGAUCUGAAUGUUGCGAGUUCGAGUCUCGCCGUGGGCG